AUUGAACGCUGGCGGCAGGCCUAACACAUGCAAGUCGAACGGUAGCACAGAGGAGCUUGCUCCUUGGGUGACGAGUGGCGGACGGGUGAGUAAUGUCUGGGAAACUGCCUGAUGGCGGGGGAUAACUACUGGAAACGGUAGCUAAUACCGCAUAAUGUCGAAAGACCAAAGAGGGGGACCUUCGGGCCUCUUGCCAUCAGAUGUGCCCAGAUGGGAUUAGCUAGUAGGUGGGGUAAUGGCCCACCUAGGC
rnacentral:rRNA from 1 species